rnacentral:lncRNA from 1 species
GCUGAAGUAUGAAGCUAACCAACUCAAUCUGAUUAUCUGUACAUAUUCCUGGUAACAGGGCAUAAUGGUACCAUUAAUGGGCAGGGUCAAGCAUGGUGGAAGAAGUACAAGCAGAGGCUUCUUAACAAUACCAGAGGGCCGCUUGUCCAGAUAAUGUGGUCUAGUGACAUAGUGAUCUCUAAUAUAACAUUGCGUGAUUCUCCGUUUUGGACACUCCAUCCAUAUGACUGCAAAAAUGUAACAAUCAAGAAUGUCACAAUUCUGGCACCCAUCUUCAACGCUCCGAAUACUGAUGGCAUAGAUCCAGGUGAAUGCUCAAUAUGUCAUCAUUGCAGACAAUAGAAAAUCUUGAGCUAGAAAUCACUUUUUUUUAUCUGCAGGUUAGGAUCAGCCUGCAUUAUAUAUUGGUCAACUGUGAACAAUAACAUUUCAAGACUAAAUUUUAUUGAUUUCUUGUGAAUUUAUUAUUUAAUGAAAUCAAUAAUAAGUAAGCUAAAAUAUUCGAAGAUAAUUUGUUUAACCUGCUUAUAGAGGUGAUUUGUGCUCUUUUUUUGGUUUAUCAUAUCGUAGGGAAUAAGAAUUAAGCUCUGAGAUUUUAAUAUGCUAAAAUUCUUGCAAGCCUGCUGAACCAGAAUUCUUCCUAGGUUGAUAUUAUUCUCAUAGACUUUAAUGCACUAUACAUACUUCUUUAUUGUUUACUUAUUCCCCUCUUACUCUGUGCGAGUUCUUGAUGUUUUUAGUAUGUUGUGGACAGAUUCAUGUGAAGAUAUGUUGAUCGAGAACUGUUACAUCAGUGUUGGUGAUGAUGGCAUUGCAAUAAAGAGUGGUUGGGAUCAGUAUGGGAUUUCUUAUGGACGGCCUUCAACAAAUAUAGUCAUCCGAAAUCUUGUAGUUCGUUCAAUGGUCAGGUGAGGUUUUUAUGUGCACUUACAUUUGUUUUUAUGACCUGGAUAUUUCUGACAACAAAUGCACCUAUGGCAUUUCAACACAUUAGCUGUCUGAGGAAGGAAAUCAUUAGUUUUUUUUCUUGCUUCGGUAUAUUUGGGAAAAUAUUCAUUGCUG